rnacentral:rRNA from 1 species
CCUACGGGAGGCAGCAGUGAGGAAUAUUGGUCAAUGGGAGAGAUCCUGAACCAGCCAAGCCGCGUGAGGGAAGACGGCCCUAUGGGUUGUAAACCUCUUUUGUCGGAGAACAAAACCCGGGACGUGUCCCGGACUGCGUGUAUCCGAAGAAAAAGCAUCGGCUAACUCCGUGCCAGCAGCCGCGGUAAUACGGAGGAUGCGAGCGUUAUCCGGAUUUAUUGGGUUUAAAGGGUGCGUAGGCGGUCCGUUAAGUCAGCGGUAAAAUUGCGGGGCUCAACCCCGUCGAGCCGUUGAAACUGGCAGACUUGAGUUGGCGAGAAGUACGCGGAAUGCGUGGUGUAGCGGUGAAAUGCAUAGAUAUCACGCAGAACUCCGAUUGCGAAGGCAGCUUACUAAGCCAUAACUGACACUGAAGCACGAAAGCGUGGGGAUCAAACAGGAUUAGAUACCCUAGUAGUC